GAUGAACGCUGGCGGCGUGCCUAAUACAUGCAAGUCGAGCGAACAGACGAGGAGCUUGCUCCUCUGACGUUAGCGGCGGACGGGUGAGUAACACGUGGAUAACCUACCUAUAAGACUGGGAUAACUUCGGGAAACCGGAGCUAAUACCGGAUAAUAUAUUGAACCGCAUGGUUCAAUAGUGAAAGACGGUUUUGCUGUCACUUAUAGAUGGAUCCGCGCCGCAUUAGCUAGUUGGUAAGGUAACGGCUUACCAAGGCAACGAUGCGUAGCCGACCUGAGAGGGUGAUCCGCCACGCUGGAACUGAGACACGGUCCAGACUCCUACGGAAGGCAGCAGUAGGGAAUCUUCCGCAAUGGGCGAAUGCUUGCCGGAGCAACGCCGCGUGAGUGAUGAAGUUCUUCGGAUCGUAAGACUCUGUUAUUAGGGAAGAACAAAUGUGUAAGUAACUAUGCACGUCUUGACGGUACCUUAUCAGAAAGCCACGGCUAACUACGUG
rnacentral:rRNA from 1 species